rnacentral:rRNA from 1 species
AGCGAACGCUGGCGGCAGGCUUAACACAUGCAAGUCGAACGGUCCUUCGGGAUAGUGGCGGACGGGUGAGUAACACGCGGGAACGUACCCUUAGGUUCGGAACAACACAGGGAAACUUGUGCUAAUACCGGAUAAGCCCUUCGGGGGAAAGAUUUAUCGCCUUUGGAGCGGCCCGCGUCUGAUUAGCUUGUUGGUGAGGUAAUGGCUCACCAAGGCUACGAUCAGUAGCUGGUCUGAGAGGAUGGCCAGCCACACUGGGACUGAGACACGGCCCAGACUCCUACGGGAGGCAGCAGUGGGGAAUCUUGCGCAAUGGGCGAAAGCCUGACGCAGCCAUGCCGCGUGGAUGAUGAAGGUCUUAGGAUUGUAAAAUCCUUUCACCGGGGACGAUAAUGACGGUACUCGGAGAAGAAGCCCCGGCUAACUUCGUGCCAGCCGCCGCCGUAA